UACAGAGGUCUCAAGCGUUGUUCGGAUUCAUUGGGCGUAAAGGGUGCGCAGGCGGCGUGGAAAGUUGAGUGUGAAAUCCCGGGGCUCAACCCCGGAACUGCACUCAAUACUCCCACGCUAGAGGAAUGUAGAGGAGAGUGGAAUUCACGGUGUAGCAGUGAAAUGCGUAGAUAUCGUGAGGAAGACCAGUUGCGAAGGCGACUCUCUGGGCAUUUCCUGACGCUCAUGCACGAAGGCCAGGGGAGCAAACGGG
rnacentral:rRNA from 1 species